UACGAAGGGGACUAGCGUUGUUCGGAAUCACUGGGCGUAAAGCGCACGUAGGCGGAUUCGUAAGUCAGGGGUGAAAUCCCGGGGCUCAACCUCGGAACUGCCUUUGAUACUGCGGGUCUUGAGUCCGAUAGAGGUGGGUGGAAUUCCUAGUGUAGAGGUGAAAUUCGUAGAUAUUAGGAAGAACACCGGUGGCGAAGGCGGCCCACUGGAUCGGUACUGACGCUGAGGUGCGAAAGCCAGGGGAGCAAACGGG
rnacentral:rRNA from 1 species